UGGGGAAUUUUGGACAAUGGACGCAAGUCUGAUCCAGCCAUGCCGCGUGCGGGAAGAAGGCCUUCGGGUUGUAAACCGCUUUUGUAAGGGAAGAAAUGAGUUUCUCUAAUACAGAGACUUAAUGACGGUACCUGAAGAAUAAGCACCGGCUAACUACGUGCCAGCAGCCGCGGUAAUACGUAGGGUGCAAGCGUUAAUCGGAAUUACUGGGCGUAAAGCGUGCGCAGGCGGUUAUGCAAGACAGAGGUGAAAUCCCCGGGCUCAACCUGGGAACUGCCUUUGUGACUGCAUAGCUAGAGUACGGUAGAGGGGAAUGGAAUUCCGCGUGUAGCAGUGAAAUGCGUAGAUAUGCGGAGGAACACCGAUGGCGAAGGCAAUCCCCUGGACCUGUACUGACGCUCAUGCACGAAAGCGUGGGGAGCAAACA
rnacentral:rRNA from 1 species